UACAGAGGGUGCAAGCGUUAAUCGGAAUUACUGGGCGUAAAGCGUGCGUAGACGGUUAUGUAAGUCAGAUGUGAAAGCCCCGGGCUUAACCUGGGAAUGGCAUUUGAGACUGCAUAGCUAGGGUGCGGAAGAGGGAAGCGGAAUUUCCGGUGUAGCGGUGAAAUGCGUAGAUAUGUGGAGGAACACCGAUGGCGAAGGCAGCCCCCUGGGUUAACACUGACGCUCAUGCACGAAAGCGUGGGGAGCAAACAGGG
rnacentral:rRNA from 1 species